rnacentral:lncRNA from 1 species
GCCGGAGGAGAGCAGUUGGCAGUUAUUUUGCAGGAGGCAUCUCAGGGAUGAAGGCAAGCCGGCCCCUAGCUGAUCAGCUGGUUGCUGAGGACUCUUCACGAAGUCAGGGACCAUUGUGAAGAUGGAAGAACGCCCACAAAACCCAGCUUGAGGCCUGCCGGCCCUGAGCGUCCUGCUGGCUCAGCGGUGGUGGUAACCAAGGAGUAUCUCAGGCCCAGUCAGUGGGGUCUUACCCUGCUCGUUGGGGCAGCUGCCAGGCUCCACUAUGCUUCUCCUUAGCAUUUCUCCUGUCCUAACCAGAAAGUGACCCUUCUAUUUGUGGAGAGCUAUGGCCUAACGGCCUGGACCAGCAGAUAACACAGCGCUCAUGAUGAGCUGUCAAGCUAUAACUAAGAGCGUCGGUUUAGGCAGUUCCUGAAACCGGCAGCGCCAUUUUGUAGGAACAGAGAAGCCGACCUCAAGCUGACCUCAAGGAAUCACUCACCCCGAGAAGACUUUGUUCUGAGCUGAUGUCUUCCCAGCCUGGUGCAGCCCCAGCUAUCCAAAAGAGGAGCUGUUAGGAUGAUUGGAACUUUGGUUUUUCCGAUUCACUCUCUUUCUUCUCUCCUGCCUUCUGCCUUAGACAGCAGGAGAAAAGGAAACUCAGCCUCAGAGGUGGGGUCCUUCGGAAGGACUGACAGUGUGGGCUAGCUCUCCUGCGUCUGGGAGCCUGAGUGCCUUUGGCUCCCUGUCCAGAGCUGAGCUUUACCACAGAGGUUUGCCCGCUUGCAAACAACAUCAAAACUUGCCUCUUCGCCUGGGUGUAUUCUCCCUCUUUUGUGUACAGUUUGGGUCCUCCAAACUGCUCUCCCUG